AAGAACCAAAAAGAGAAGAAAAAAAGAAGAAUGGGACAUUGCCAGCAGUUAGUAGUACACUGCCGGCAUGUCCUGAAACCUCAUUGGUGGGAAUUGUGCCACUGACGGAGGAAACUGUGUCCCCUCCCAUUAUGAUGAAGGAUGAAUUUUGUGAUCUUCUUUCAUAAGGGAGGAGCUGUACAGAGCUUUGUGAAGAAGCUAGAGGGCUGGAGG